rnacentral:rRNA from 1 species
AACAGGGAUUGCCUCAGUAGCGGCGAGUGAAGCGGCAAAAGCUCAAAUUUGAAAUCUGGCGUCUUUGGCGUCCGAGUUGUAAUUUGAAGAAGGUAUCUUUGGGCCCGGCUCUUGUCUAUGUUCCUUGGAACAGGACGUCACAGAGGGUGAGAAUCCCGUGCGAUGAGAUGACCCGGGUCUGUGUAAAGUUCCUUCGACGAGUCGAGUUGUUUGGGAAUGCAGCUCUAAGUGGGUGGUAAAUUCCAUCUAAAGCUAAAUAUUGGCGAGAGACCGAUAGCGAACAAGUACAGUGAUGGAAAGAUGAAAAGAACUUUGAAAAGAGAGUGAAAAAGUACGUGAAAUUGUUGAAAGGGAAGGGCUUGAGAUCAGACUUGGUAUUUUGCAUGCUGCUCUCUCGGGGGCGGCCGCUGCGGUUUACCGGGCCAGCAUCGGUUUGGAGCGGCAGGAUAAUGGCGGAGGAAUGUGGCACGGCUUCUGCUGUGUGUUAUAGCCUCUGACGAUACUGCCAGCCUAGACCGAGGACUGCGGUUUUUAACCUAGGAUGUUGGCAUAAUGAUCUUAAGUCGCCCGUCUUGAAACACGGACCAAGGAGUCUAACGUCUAUGCGAGUGUUUGGGUGUAAAACCCGUACGCGUAAUGAAAGUGAACGAAGGUGGGGGCCCAUUAGGGUGCACCAUCGACCGAUCCUGAUGUGUUCGGAUGGAUUUGAGUAAGAGCAUAGCUGUUGGGACCCGAAAGAUGGUGAACUAUGCCUGAAUAGGGUGAAGCCAGAGGAAACUCUGGUGGAGGCUCGUAGCGGUUCUGACGUGCAAAUCGAUCGUCGAAUUUGGGUAUAGG